UUGGGGUGACGCUGGGAACCUUAUGUGUCAUCUCUGACUCCUCCCCAGGUGACUGCUUCCUGACAGUGAAGUCCCACAGGUUACAACACUGACAAACACGGUAUUUGACUCAUAGAGACGGUUCAGUCACCACCGCGGUGCUGACUAUAAAGGAGAAAGGACAGUUAAGUCAGUCUGUGGUUCAUGUUUCGUGGCUUCUCUGAAGUUUAGAACCCUUGAAGACAGAUUUAUCAUUCUCUGCUAGAUGUGGACAACCAAUUACUGAUUGAGCAAAGGGCCCUGGUGGCGUUCACAGACACCUUGGAGAGUUUGAGAACCACUGGACUAGAGGAAAAUCUUAAAACUACUGACUGAGGAGGAAAUGAGCCUGGUUAUCCAAGAGCAGGACCGAAGAUCAACGUGAGAACCCUGGAGUACAGACAAGCUGGAAAACUGUGCUAGAGUGAGGAUUUGAUUGGAAAUCUGACUCCAGAGCCUGGACUUUACUCAGCAGCCCCUGCCCCCACACACACACCUCUACCCAGAUUAGAACAUCUACUGCUUCCUCCUUGCAUAGGCUGAUAUCUACAUGCAGGUGUGCAUGGGGCACUUAAAAACCAGUUAGAUUGGGGGAGGGUGGUUUUUGCAGGUGACAAAAACAGGAAUUCCACCCCACCUAAAAGUCUUCCCCAAAGUGUGAAUGUUUUGCAAAAACUUCAAAAGGACAGUGUAAUUUGGCACCAGAUUUGUUUUAAUUUGUUUUAAAUCUUGAUUUCCAAGAUCUGAACAUGCUUAUUGACCCUCAGUGCCCGCUAAUACAGAAUUUGUUAAUUUGUUGAUUCAGAAGGUCACUCACAACAUCCUGGAUUUUGGUUCAGAAGCCUCACAGCAAAGCAGCUCAUUCAAUUUACCCUUAGCUGGUAUGCUGUAAAGAAACAUGUAUGUAACUGACACCCGUCAUCAGUGGUUUUUAAGUUUAGAUGUGUUUAUCCAAAUGCAAUGUGACAGUGGCACCAUUUUAUCGAUGGAUUUUUUUUGAUUGACUUUUUGCCUUAGAUUUUUAAAGACUCUGUUUAACAACUGGAGUAUAAGAUCAUGCCUAUAG